rnacentral:rRNA from 1 species
AUGAACGCUAGCGACAGGCCUAACACAUGCAAGUCGAGGGGCAGCACAAGGAGCAAUCUGAGGUGGCGACCGGCGCACGGGUGAGUAACACGUAUGCAACCUGCCUGUAAGCGGGGAAUAACCCGUUGAAAGACGGACUAAUACCGCAUAAUACUAAAUUACUGCAUGGUAAUUUAUUUAAACAUUUAUGGCUUACAGAUGGGCAUGCGCAUGAUUAGCUAGUUGGAGAGGUAACGGCUCCCCAAGGCAACGAUCAUUAGGGGUUCUGAGAGGAAGGUCCCCCACACUGGUACUGAGACACGGACCAGACUCCUACGGGAGGCAGCAGUGAGGAAUAUUGGUCAAUGGACGAGAGUCUGAACCAGCCAAGCCGCGUGCAGGAAGAAUGUUCCCUAUGGAUUGUAAACUGCUUUUGCAGGGGAAUAAAGUGCAUCACGUGUGAUGUUUUGUAUGUACUCUGCGAAUAAGGAUCGGCUAACUCCGUGCCAGCCGCCGC